rnacentral:rRNA from 1 species
GAUGAACGCUGGCGGCGUGCCUAAUACAUGCAAGUCGAGCGAACAGACGAGGAGCUUGCUCCUCUGACGUUAGCGGCGGACGGGUGAGUAACACGUGGAUAACCUACCUAUAAGACUGGGAUAACUUCGGGAAACCGGAGCUAAUACCGGAUAAUAUAUUGAACCGCAUGGUUCAAUAGUGAAAGACGGUUUUGCUGUCACUUAUAGAUGGAUCCGCGCCGCAUUAGCUAGUUGGUAAGGUAACGGCUUACCAAGGCAACGAUGCGUAGCCGACCUGAGAGGGUGGUCGGCCACACGGGAACUGAGACACGGUCCAGACUCCUACGGGAGGCAGCAGUAGGGAAUCUUCCGCAAGGGGCGAAAGCCUGACGGAGCAACGCCGCGGGAGUGAUGAAGGUCUUCGGAUCGUAAAACGCUGUUAUUAGGGAAGAACAAAUGUGUAAGUAACUAUGCACGUCUUGACGGUACCUAAUCAGAAAGCCACGGCUAACUACGUG